AUACGGAGGGUGCAAGCGUUAUCCGGAAUCAUUGGGUUUAAAGGGUCCGCAGGCGGAUUAAUAAGUCAGUGGUGAAAUCCUCUCGCUCAACGAGAGAACUGCCAUUGAAACUGUUAGUCUUGAAUUCGGUCGAAGUAGGCGGAAUGUGUCAUGUAGCGGUGAAAUGCAUAGAUACGACACAGAACACCGAUAGCGAAGGCAGCUUACUAGACCUGGAUUGACGCUCAUGGACGAAAGCGUGGGGAGCGAACAGGAUUAGAAACCCUAGUAGUCC
rnacentral:rRNA from 1 species